rnacentral:rRNA from 1 species
GGGUGAGUAACACGUGACCAACCUGCCCCGCGCUCGGGGACAACCGCUGGAAACGGCGGCUAAUACCGGGUACUCCGGGAGGGCCCCAUGGCCCUGCCGGGAAAGCCGAGACGGCGCGGGAUGGGGUCGCGGCCCAUUAGGUAGACGGCGGGGUAACGGCCCACCGUGCCCGCGAUGGGUAGCCGGACUGAGAGGUCGACCGGCCACAUUGGGACUGAGAUACGGCCCAGACUCCUACGGGAGGCAGCAGUGGGGAAUUUUGCGCAAUGGGGGAAACCCUGACGCAGCAACGCCGCGUGCGGGACGAAGGCCCUCGGGUUGUAAACCGCUUUCAGCAGGGAAGACUUUACGACGGUACCUGCAGAAGAAGCUCCGGCUAACUACGUGCCAGCAGCCGCGGUAAUACGUAGGGGGCGAGCGUUAUCCGGAUUCAUUGGGCGUAAAGCGCGCGUAGGCGGCCGCCUAAGCGGGACCCCUAACCCCGGGGCUCAACCCCGGGCCGGGUCCCGGACUGGGCGGCUCGAGUGCGGUAGAGGAGAGCGGAAUUCCCGGUGUAGCGGUGGAAUGCGCAGAUAUCGGGAAGAACACCGAUGGCGAAGGCAGCUCUCUGGGCCGUCACUGACGCUGAGGCGCGAAAGCUGGGGGAGCGAACAGGAUUAGAUACCCUGGUAGUCCCAGCCGUAA